CCGGUGGCCAGUGGUGCGCGUGAUAUCCCCCUGUCGCCUACCGAUUGUAUUGUUACGCGCCCAUCGCGCAUACGUAUUGUAUGUGGAUGCACCUUCAGACCCGUGGAUACGAUCCUCCCGGCCUAGAAAGAUAUACAAUGAGAACCAGACAAUGAGCUGAUUGUUUCGAGUUCGUGUUCCGAUAGUUACGCCGUGUUUGUUCCCGUGAGAAGGUAACCACAUCGUUGUUCGACUUACAUUUUUUUACGUCAGAUUGAGUUAUUACGCUUACAUUGCAAUCAUCAAUGAUCGUUCAAAGAAUUUUCUAACUUUUUUGUGCAUUGAUGACUUAUAAGAAUAGAAAAUUUCCUCGUCCAUGUAAUAUUAGAUAAAUAAGAUUCUUUAACCAUAGAAAUGAAAACUAUAGAUUAACCGCGAAAAAUUGGCAAUUCAAAAUUAAAUGUCGAAAAAUAUAAUUAUAAAUUUUUUUCUUUGAUCUAUUUGAUAAAUAGAUAUAUUAAAUAACAAUUAAUUGAAAAUGAAUUGAUACAAACAACUUCUUUACUGUUCAAACACAAUCCCCUGAAAAAGAUCAUCGUGCUGACAGAGGGAAGGCGAGUGUAUACAUACGGUUACAUUCACCGAUUUCAUGGUAAAUCGAGCGUUUCUUAGCCAUAGGAUCUGGCGUGCCCUUACGCAAACCUAUUGUACACGAGUGCCUCCUGUGGUGUUACGGUAGAAUGAGAACACAACGCGGAUUGGUCCGCAGGUCGUCCUAUCUUCAAAAUAGCAUUACCAGCGAUCAUAAUGGUUCAACCGGUGUGUCGUUAAUGUGGUAGUAUAUAAGGAAUUUGUGCUAUGACAGGCAAACAAAAAAAGAAACGAAUAAACUAGCAAACGUUUCUUUAUCCAUUAAGACGAUACGUGACAAAAGAGAUUAUAUACGUUUAUAUUUUUCGACAACAAGAAACAAGAAGAUUUGCUCAGUGGAUGCCUGUUUUCAAACAUGGUACAUUUGUAUUUAGUUCACAAACAUGACAAAGCAACAGAGAAAAAGAAAAAGCAAGUUCUAUGCAUUUACGUGAUUAUUUCGAGAAGUUAAGUCGCCGAGACGCAUCCGCGUCACUGAUGGAUCUCACUAACGAGCACAACUGAUGAUUGACAAAAUAUUCUCAGUGUGAGACCGAAUUUAGAGUUAAAAGGAAAAAUUUUAAGAAAUGGACAAUAGAAAAAAGAAGUCAGCAUUCUUCGCGCUGCUCGGAAGGUGUUGAAGUAGGUAUGCCAAGUUAAAUAUACGCGUAGGAUGCACAGGCAGGACAAAAAGCACUUCCUCUUGUCUGACGAGUAUACUUUGAAGACCGAACGUAGGCUUCAGUAAGCAGACAAAAUAAGAAUUUUUACUCCAUACGAGAAAGCAUUCUACUUUUUGAAUUAUUCUUUGUUCAUAUUACUGUUGGAUCUUUUUUUAUUUAUCCAUAUAUUUUCUUAUAGAUAUACAACAAAUAUGUAUAGUAAAUAUGUUAUUAUAAAACUUUAUUAUUAAAAAAAUUAAUAUAUGAACGUGCUCUUUGAUAGAAAGAAGUAUGAAAAUUUUUACAUUACGACAAUGGGACAGAAACGUUCUCAUGUUUGUGAGAUCAUGUACAAUCUUCUUGAAUGUAACCGUUUCUUGUUGAUACUGGCAAUGAGUUAUGUUGACACAACGCAACCUGUUCUGGCUCCUCGUUGAAUAUUAUGAACAUAUUAUGACAGAUAUGCCAUCCGAAGAUCAAGAAAAUUAGAUAGCACGUGCUAUUUUGAAGUAAUAGUCGUUCUAUGGUUCAUGAAGCGAGCGACAAGCAAUUAUAAAAAGAUCAAUUUUGCGCAGAAUUAGAUAAUGGAUUUGACGAAGUCUAUGUAAGUGUGAUUCGCCGGUUUCUCUAACUGUGACGCUUGUUUAAAUCUCAAUUCCAACGUUUCAUGCACUCGCUGAGGGCCAAGAGUCUCCACUAAUAACUCGGAUCAAUGUGAAUCUCCGCGUCGAUCAAAAUCAAAGAUCUUCUUUGGAAAAGUCAAUACGUCAACAAACAAGGCGUCAGUUGAAUUUCGUCUGAACUUUGCGCAAACACUGGAAAAUCCCAAUGUUAACUGAUAUCUCAGUAAGGCAGAACAUAUGGUGCAUUCAAUUGAACGUUAAUUACAAACUUAAAACGAUUAAUUAGAUUCAAAGAUAAUGUUUUAAUUUGAUGUUUUGUUUGCAUAAAAAUAUACGUUCACCGUGAAAUUAAGAUUAUAGGGUUAAAGAGGUUAAUGAAAUUUAUGAAGCUAGACACAAAACAAAAAAUCGAGACGGCUUUUUGUCGAAAUAUUCGGCAAUCUUUUGCAACGGAUUUGAGCUGUGGCCAAUAUUAGAGCAAUAAAAAAGCUCAUCGGACUACUGUGGCUUGUUUCAAAGCGACGGUAAUGGGGCUUGAAAGCUGCCGGCUAGGAAAAGGAAGUAGAAGGAGAAAGGGGUGACGGUAAGAGGAAAAAAUCGGAGAAGAGACGAGAGACAUUCGUCUUCGAAGGCGUUCAACCAUUUGAUAGCGGAACCACCCAGCGUUAACAUUGCUCGCUCCUUUCAGUAAAAGAAAUCGACUGCAACAGUCGGAAAUCUUUAUUGAAAUGACAAUCGUAAAAAUUUGAAUUUCCAUGGAUUAAAAGAAUGUCAUCUAUGCAAAUAAACAUUGCAUGAUACAUUAAAUGAAAUAUUUUUUGAAGAUACGAUGAAAUAAUAUCGAAAUUGUAUCUUUUGAAUUAUUUAACAAUAAUAAUAAUAAUAAUAAUUCUUUAUACUUUUUCAGUUUAUUAAUAUAAAUUCAAAUCUAAAAACUGUUGAGACAAAUGUUUAUACAAAUGAAAUUUAAUAUCUCGAUCAUUCUUAAGAGAGAAAAAUCUAACAUAUAAUCAGAUUAUAACCAAAAAUUACUUUCGCUAUUUUUUAACGCAUAACAAUUUAUUCCUAAUGAUACUCCUAUGGAAAUAUUAAUUUUUUUACACAUGCACAUAAAAUAUAACUAAUUAUUUUUAAAUAAUCAGUCGUAAAAUGAAUGACAAUCAAGGAAAUAUCGAUUACAAUAUUACCUGACAUCUUAUACGGUUGAAUAAUCUUGAUCACCGAGUAUGAACAGACCCAAUCAUGAAAAUUAACCAAGAUUGUCAUAAUUAACAGCUGUUAAAUUCCGAAAGAUGAAACAGCGUGGUCGUUGAAAAGCCUUCGGUACGUAUAUGUGUAUGCUUGUGGUUCGAAAGACCCCACAUCAGGCCCUCGGAAGGCAUCAAACCUGUCGACGGUGGGUGGAUGCGUUCCUGAAGACGAACGGCUUUUUUACGUGACGCCAGACGUUCCUUACGCCUCGUCAAGAUGUCAACGACUUGACCGAUGGAUCAACGAAGAAUUCUCGAAACGCCGUCUAGAUCACGCUUUCGCAUAAAAUCAUGUGAUUGAUCGGGAUGCUUCGUGAUCAAGAUAACGAGUAUCGAAUGACUUGUACGUGCCUCGUCACUAUUUCUUGAAAUUUAUGAUUUUCAAAUCGCGUAAAAGUAGCCGAAUAACAGUAAGGAGAAACUUUUGCGACAACAAAUACAAACUUGGAUCAAAUCACGAUGUGAAGGGAUAUUAACGUAUUUCAACCUUAAGGAUCGCAAAGAAUGCUGGGAAGCGCACUAAAGUCAAGAUACAACCAAUCAUCGCCGUUAAUCGAAUCAGUCGACAUUCUUCCCUCGUAAGAUCGCAUUGUUUACGGGACAUGGCCGUGUCACCUCGUCUCAGAAUGAGAUCGCAUAAAUAACUCCUAUGGAACCUCUUCCUCGGUGCUAGUCAUCCAAGAGGCUCAUUGUGAAGCCACAUCGAAUUUCUUUCUCCUUCUCCUUUCGUCCCAACCACCUUCCUCGCCAUCCGUCCCCACCAAGUAUACAGCCAGGAAUCCUGCCUGCAUGUGUCACUGUUGUGACGCAGCAACAUGGAGACGCGAGCAGCAAGACGAAGUAGCAACGAGAGAGGUGAUGCGAGCAGUCAGUUUCAUUGUGCGAUCAAAAAAUGACCAUACGGAUUUUUCUCUCGGUUCCAUUGAGCCUGGAGAGGCUCGAGAGACUCGAAUCAGUCUCUCUCUUCUCUCUGCACCCGUUCUUCCCCCAUUGGGAUUCAUUCAUAAUACCAUUCUCGAGUGGAGGCUCGAAGUGGACCGGAUGGUAUUUCGUUUUCUGACAGCCAGCACCAGCGGCUGAUCCUCUCUGUUCGAAUUACGAGUACGGCCGAUGCUGCACGACCGAGUGCCCGGGAGCUGGGGUAUUUUGCUUAUAGUAUAAAUAAUCGGCCUGAUCGUGAAUCGUCGAACCUCGUUCGCUUUUUGGCAGUGAAAAGUUGCACUCAUUCACCAUUCACUCUUAUACGUUUAAUGACAACUCAUUACAUGUCAAUGAAUGGUUAAAUUUAAUAUAUUUUAUCUGGGUUCAAAAAAUUUAUAUCAGAAAUUAAUUUAAUUUAUGACGUAAAUUAUUUUGCAAUUUUUUACUUCUUUUAGAAACUUAAAUAUUUUUACUUUAUCGUAUAGUGUAUAUAUAUAUAUGUAUGUUUUAUUUAGUUAAAAAUUGUUCAGAAAUUGAUUUCAUUUUAUAAUUUUUCUGUUCGAUGACGCCAUCGCAAUAUGGUGCCGUGCUGUCUACGGAUACCAUGGAAUUCCAAUGGAAUUUAUCUCUCCUUGUCAAAUAUUUGCCUUUGCGCGAAGCCACUUGAAUCACUUUGACUCGACUCGUUGCAACUCACGAUUCAAGAAUACAUGACUGCAUGUAUUACUCUCUUAAUAUUGAUAAAGAAAGCGAUAUAUGUAUUUAAUAUCGUUUCCAUUAUUUUUUAAAAUAGUAACAUCUAUCUAACCAGAGAAGUUAUAAGAAAAAAAAUGAGCAUAUUUUCGUAUAGAUACUAUCUAAUUUUAAAUAAAACACCAAUCAUGGAAACAUUUGAUCUUAAAACUGGUAUCGAUAAUAGAAAUAAAAAUGCAAAAUGUAUAAAACGAUUACCUUUAAAAUAAUUUCUUUGUAAUCCGAUAAAUGCAUUAGUAUUUUUAUUUUCACGUUCCUUCGGAUAACUAGACGGCUUGGCACCUAGCAUGCUGCCAUCAUCGAGGCACGAACAACUAUUAUUCUUCCGGUCGAUUCGUCGAUCGACGGAACGUUUUAUCGUUGAUUUAUCUGUUGUUUGCUUUCUCAGUACGCGUGGAAACACAGCAAACGACCGAUUUAUGAACGGCCGAUAGAGGAACGGGAUUUGAGGAGCCAAUCUGACGGUAACUUCUGGAUGAUGAAAAAACGGGAUAUGUGGCUUUGCAUGUUGCAUCAUGUGCGACUACAGAUCGCUUUAUUUUCAGAAAUUUGAUGAUCUAAUCAAUGACAAAAUGGAUGCUAUUUCGAUCAAUCGUUCAUCGAAAUGAACCAUUGAACGUAACGAAGAUGAAAAGCAUGUAAAUAUGCAUUAUCAAAUUCUAAUCUCGAAGCUGGAAACAAAGAUAAUGCUUCCAUAUACUCGAUAAUCUUCUCUUGCGCGAAAUUUCGAAGAUUAAAAAGAAGGCAUGAAAGCCAGGAAGAAAAGAAGAGCGAAAAGACACCAAUUUUUUUCUGCAGGACGUGGGAAAGCUCGUGGACAAGGGACGGCGAAGAUGCCCACGACCAUUCACCUGUCAACUACUUUCUUCCUCUUCUUCGGCUUCGUGUUCUUCGUGUGCCAGUAUUGCUCCGAGGUGGCACAACUCGGCGCUGGCAUCGGCACUGCUCACGUAGUCGCGCCUACCAAAACAUCCUCGACGAUCCUCCAUUUGACUCGCCAUUCAUCGCUGGUGAAACAGCUUAAUAUAAUCCUAUUUAAGGAGCUCCCAUUGUGACUAUACCCGCUAGUGGUACGUGACCGAAAUUAUUUACUCGUUUAUUAGAUGUCGCUGACUGAUCGGCAGCCUUCCGUCGGAUUUGACGUUCGGCUCUUCCAUUGUGCCACUUUAUUGUUGCUCCAAAAGAUAUUCGGUUAACCGAAACGCGUAUACAGUAAUAAUGCAGCAAUUGCAGUUUCUUUUAUUUACUUUUUUUGUAUUUUAUUGUUUUAUACAAUUUUACCGAUAGAAAGAAAAGUCUCUCGGAUAAAAUUGUUUGAUUUAUGACCGUAAAGGAUUUUUCGUAGUCAUUUUGCGAAGAUUAACCAAGAAUUAAUUUUAUCCCCCGUCUCGUAGAAGGGUAUGUUCUGGGAAACUCGACGGUAGUAGAAAAUUUAUACGAGAUUCCAGGAGUUUCAAACUCACGCGAGGAUGAACACCGUCCGCUCUGUCGAUCCGGAAACCACAGGAUCACGAAUCUCGUGGAAAUCUUGUUUUCUAUGAUGACAUCUCAUAUACACGCGCAUGCACUUAAGUAAUCACUUUGUCUUACCUAUUAUUAAACCGUUAUUAACUAAAAAUCUUCAAAGAUAAGUAAAAAAAAAAGUUAUUAAUUGAACUAAAAUUUAAUUUAUUGAAAUUAUGAAGAGGAAAUAAUUGUGAAUGAAAAAAGGAUGUUAAAUUACUUUUAUAUUAAUUUUAUAUUUUACCGUAUUUCGCAGGGAAUAAGGGAGUAAGUUCCUGGUGAUGUCGUCAACCGUUAUUGCGGUUACUUAAAUGGAGUCAUAUCAUUGCCAGAGAACGAUUAGAUGCAAUCGAAUUCCAGGAUCGGUCUGUCGGCGAAGUUUACACUCGAGUCUCGGCAUAGCUUUGCUAUGUUAGGUGGGCCAACAUAAGCAAACCUCUUGAGACGAGGCACAUGUGGCCAACAAUGGGCCAAAUAGCAUAGAAGGUUACAUGUGUAACAUAAGAUAAGGACCGGAACCGGAUGCCGAGAAAGACAAAGGUUCACCCGUAGAAGAAACGAGCCUUAGAAAGCCUCGAGAACGCCAGGAAGCACUCGUGUGCCGGAUUGGUCCACGGGAUUAAAGGCAGAAGCGACAAGGCAGGUCCUGCAAGCAAGGUGACUCGCGAGGACCACCCGUCGGGGCCGUUUAAAGGAUUAUCCUUGGAGGUGCCAUCAUGUCAAAACACCGGACCUCUGAGAAUAGCUUGACUUCGACACUUGCCGCCACAGAAUUAUCCGAAAGGAGAGGAAUCGGCAAUUGUUUGGUUGUCAUCGCAAAAAAAAAAUCUUCGAAAAAGAGAAGCAUUUAAGAUUGAAAUAGUAAUAAAUUAAGAGAUUAAUUAUCAAUUAUAAAUAUUUGAUAUCAAAUUUUCCUUAGAUGUACACGAUCAAUAUUCUAUCAUACAUUCCGCCACAAUUUAAUCGUCGCAAUUGACAGUGGAGUUUUAAUCAUUUCGACAUACGCUUCCUUCGACUAUUACAUUGCUGCUACCUAUAUUUAUAAUAUAUACAAUAAUCAUCUGAACGUAUGUCCACGUGUGUGCGGACAUGUCUUGUCAAAUAACGGUGGCACUACGAGUAUAUAUUGUCCAGUCACAGUCUGCCACCGAGACAAGGAGAAACUCCAUACUGACAGUCAGCUCCAUUAAGUUCCAUUAUGGGUUCGCGGUGCGAAAGGUACACAGUAUUCGCAUUGCGCCUUCACUGAACUUUUCGUUGGUCGCACAGCAACUCGUUAAACUCGUUAAACCAAAAGACAGGACUGGCAUCGCUCAAAGAAUGACAACGAGUUCUACUUUUACGAUUAAGAUCGAUGGGAUGCGUUCGAACUACUGAACAAACCACAAGUCCCGUUUAUUUAAUUGCAGAUAGACUUGCUUGAAAUACAAAUACUUUCGAUAUAUAUAUCAUACACAUUUUAUAGGAAGAACAGAUUUAUAUAGAUACAUACUCUUUCAGAAUCGAUCAAUCUUGAAUAUUAAUUUGUAAAAUUUAUUUUAUUUCAAUUUCUUAUCAAAGAAAAAAUUAGAUGUAUCUUGAUAUAAUCUAUCAAAGGAUAUAUUUAUUUUUUGUUUAAGGUAUUUUUAAAUCUUGAAAGGAAAAACGUUUAAAGUGGAUAAGGUUUUGACGUUAAUACUUUGUUUAGUUAUUCACUACUUAAUAUUGUUUGUUUAUCUGAUCACUACAUUGUUUUGUAUGCUAUUACAAUGUAACGACACGAAGGUCACAAAAAGAAUAUCACGUGACAAAUCGUGACAUCGUCUUUCAUUCGGUAUUUCACACGUGCAAGCUGGACUAGAAGAUCCCAAUCCUGAAAGGAAACUGGUAUCGUAUUAAUUGUCGCUGCCUUUCGUCAGGCCGUUAAUUAAGUGGUCACCGCCUACUCUGAAAUUUGGACGUCGCGUCGGAACCGGAACGAAUUUUCUAGUCACCGAUUCUACGCUGUCUUGCGACAACAAUUCUCCAGAAAGACGUUUGCAUUUUUUAAAUUCCACUGGUACGGCAUGGGCCAAAGAGAUAUUCCUACCCUUAUCCGCUGCUCAGGUUGGCCAGGUUUUUCGUGGCGACUCGCGACUAUUCAGGUUUUCAUUCAUGAUGGAAAGCCAAGUCGCUUCGUAUCCUGGACAGGAUUUCGAAAACGGUUCUCUGUUUUCUCAGGCCCUGCCCGAUAUUGGCGGUUCUCUGUUUUCUUAAGCAGCGGGCCCACUUCCUUAUUGCCACGCCCGAGAAAAAAAGGAGGAUAGAGAGCCUUCGGUGCCACGCUGUCUGCCAAAGACACCAUUCUCCGGCGACGAUGGCCAACCCUGAACUUCCGUGCAUCGCGAUCGAAGAAAGGCGCAGGUCGACGAAGGAAAGGGUGGCUAGGUGGGGUAGAGAGUACCGCCCUUCGAGAAAGGAGAACGACGAUGACAGGAACGAGGAAAUAUCGACGUGGAGGGAUGGGUUUCUUUGUUUUGUGUGAAAACAGCCGCAGGGGUGACGGACUGUGGCAUCAAACCAAACUGAAUAUUGCGUCCUCACUUACGUCGCUUCCGUGUUCUCCUGAAUACCGCAGGAAAGAUAUAGAAUAGACGUGCAAUUGCAAGAAAAACGGAAUCUAAUUCUGAUACGUACCAUGA